UAGGGAAUCUUCGGCAAUGGGGGGAACCCUGACCGAGCAACGCCGCGUGAGUGAAGAAGGUUUUCGGAUCGUAAAGCUCUGUUGUUAAGGAAGAACGAGUGUGAGAAUGGAAAGUUCAUGCUGUGACGGUACUUAACCAGAAAGGGACGGCUAACUACGUGCCAGCAGCCGCGGUAAUACGUAGGUCCCGAGCGUUGUCCGGAUUUAUUGGGCGUAAAGCGAGCGCAGGCGGUUAGAAAAGUCUGAAGUGAAAGGCAGUGGCUCAACCAUUGUAGGCUUUGGAAACUGUUUAACUUGAGUGCAGAAGGGGAGAGUGGAAUUCCAUGUGUAGCGGUGAACUGCGUAGAUAUAUGGAGGAACACCGGUGGCGAAAGCGGCUCUCUGGUCUGUAACUGACGCUGAGGCUCGAAAGCGUGGGGAGCGAACAGG
rnacentral:rRNA from 1 species